rnacentral:misc_RNA from 1 species
GUUUUAUAUAGUUUCUAAGCCCGUAGGCCUUGUUUUAUACAUUCAAUAAGAUUGUUAUAUGUGUUUGUGUGAAGGGAUUAACAAAGGGCAAUCUCCUUGGGCUCUCCCUCGGAAGGGGAAACCCUUGGAUCACGCCCUUUGAUAAUUCUUGUAGUGCACAGGGGUUGAAUGGAUGGUUAAAUUGAGAGCAGAUGAGCACAAUGCUUCGGAACCCAACACAAGGAAAGGCCCAAACCACCAGCAUCAAAUCCACUUCAAAAUACAUUCAGUAAUGAUCCUUCCGCAGGUUCACCUACGGAAA